rnacentral:rRNA from 1 species
CCAGCACCCCGAGUGGUCGGGACGAUUAUUGGGCCUAAAGCAUCCGUAGCCGGUUUUACAAGUCCUCCGUUAAAUCCAGCUGCUUAACAGAUGGGCUGCGGAGGAUACUAUAAGACUAGGGGGCAGGAGAGGCAAGCGGUACUCAGUGGGUAGGGGUAAAAUCCGUUGAUCCAUUGAAGACCACCAGUGGCGAAGGCGGCUUGCCAGAAUGCGCUCGACGGUGAGGGAUGAAAGCUGGGGGAGCAAACCGGAUUAGAUACCCGGGUAGUCCCAGCUGUAAACGAUGCAGACUCGGUGAUGGACUAGCUUUAUGCUAGUCCAGUGCCGCAGGGAAGCCGUUAAGUCUGCCGCCUGGGUAGUACGGUCGCAAGACUG